ACUUGCUUGGAGGGAAAACCUUCCUUUUGAAGCAGAAGGAACUGGCAAUGUCACCAAAGUCAUGGAAAAGGAGCCUGACAGCUGACCAUCUCCUCAAGGAGGAAGCUGCAAGGCCUUGCCUUGACCAUUGGGUCAGCACCCUGAACCCAAGGGACUGACACUGUUGGAGUCUCAGAGCAGAUACUGUGAUUUCAUAUCAACAAUGAAACAGCCUCUUGUCUCCUCCAAAGUGAGGAGACCCUGUUUUCAUCAGCCAACUCCCCUGACCACCAGUUCCUGUCUAUGACUAUUCAGGGAACCCCACAAAGCAGGACUCCCAUCAACUCCCAAAGACAAAGCCAUUGGCCAGGACCCCUGGCUUGCACCUGUGUCUCCUGUGGAGUUUCAUACUGUGUUCAGCACAUAGGAGAAGCUUGAAAAGAGCCUGUUGAGUGAAAGAUAUUAACACUACUUGGAGUAAGAGCAUUUGCUAAUAUUUUGUCCCAGUUAAAAAUAGUGCUUCGCACAAGAGCUGAAAACAGGCUUCUUCACUAAACGCUUCCUCAAGCUGGUUCUCAGCCUCCUCCUGAAUCAUUACCCUCGAGCCAGUUCGCUGAGAUCUCAGGGAGAUACACGCCAAGAAACGCCAUGCUUCCUCCGGGGAAAGUGCCAGCGGGUACCCACCCCACUGCGGUCGAACCAGCCCAAACCAGGUCUACGAAGUCCGGCAGGGCUGUCCAUUCCAGGACCACCUCCUGGUCUUCCUCAGCCGAAGAGGAAGGACCGCCCCUUCUGACCUGGUUGAAGGAACCUGCAGUCACUCCCGGGUCUCUAUUUUACCACAGCCUGUUAGCAGCCCAGAAUAGCUCCCGAGCCUUCGAUUCCGUGCUCCGGGCAGAGUCUUGAACCAUCAGGAAAUGGUUUUUGCGGUGUGCCAAGGAGGCAGAGGGGGAGGCAGGGAUGGAAAAUCCAAACAUCCCUCCCGAGUCACGGCGAAGAGGCAACCCAUGUUUUCAAGUCAGUCUGGAUCUCAAACAUUGAGUGCCACUUGUGCGAUGGGUUCCUGCCAUUCUUCCCUCUGGGAAUUAGAAGAAGUCGUGACAGCCUGUGGAACCAUCCAGCUGAGUAAGGGGACAGGUCCCUGAGCUGGCGGGAACUGUUACUGAGGCCUCGCCCACACUGAAGAUCAUAAUGCCAUGAAGAAAGUUCUGGCAACUCUGGAAACCUAAGGGAAAGCAUGCCUGUCUCCCCCACCCCUGCCAGUAUUCAGUCACAUAUGUGCUCUUCGUCUUCUGUAUAACUUCCAUCUUGGCACGUUUGAGAGAGAAGUUUGCUGUGUUUGUCUGCCCAAUGGGCUGCCUUCGUUAUAGAUUGUAAAUAACUUCUUUCCAGAA